rnacentral:RNase_P_RNA from 1 species
CGAGUCGGCCGGGCGGCCGCGUCGGCAGCCCACGGGCUGCCGCCGAGGAAAGUCCGGACUCCGCAGGGCAGGGUGGUUGUCAACGGCAACCCGGGGCGACCCGCGGGACAGUGCCACAGAGAACAGACCGCCCCGCGCAUCCAGCGCGGGGUAAGGGUGAAACGGUGGUGUAAGAGACCACCAGCACCCCGGGUGACCGGGGUGGCUCGGUAAACCCCACCCGGAGCAAGGUCAAGAGGCCGCACGGCGCGAGCCGGGCGGCUGCGCAGGCGUUCGAGGGCGGCCCGUCCGAGCCUGCGGGUAGACCGCAAGAGUCUGCCGGCGACGGCAGGCCGAGAUGGAUGGUCGCCGAACGGACCGCCGCGAGGCGCCCGGGAACAGGAUCCGGCUUACAGGCCGACUCGUCCG